GUGGCAGCCGCCGCGGUAAUACGUAGGGUGCAAGCGUUAAUCGGAAUUACUGGGCGUAAAGCGUGCGCAGGCGGUUUUGUAAGACAGGCGUGAAAUCCCCGGGCUCAACCUGGGAAUUGCGCUUGUGACUGCAAGGCUGGAGUGCGGCAGAGGGGGAUGGAAUUCCGCGUGUAGCAGUGAAAUGCGUAGAUAUGCGGAGGAACACCGAUGGCGAAGGCAGCCCCCUGGGUCGAUACUGACGCUCAUGCACGAAAGCGUGGGUAGCAAACAGGAUUAGAUACCCUGGUAGUCCACGCCGUAA
rnacentral:rRNA from 1 species